UCUUAUUCAUGAAAAUAUUUCAAAAACUUUGGUAGAGAAUGUAAGAAAGGCGGUAAUGGCUUCAUUUUUCUUGAUAUGGAUACAGCAAGCUGCUGAUUUAGCUCUUUGAAGACUGGGAUUUGAGUAGAAUAGCUGGAAAGGAACCUUCAAAGGUCAUCCAGUCCCACUGCCUGACCACUUCAGCUCGUGCAACAUGGCCACAGUAACAAGACAGGCAAUGCUUCUGUUUAAAAGUGAUUUCAAUUUUUGAGGAGUCUAAAGGUCAUCCAGGCAUCUGGAUAUGCAAAUCCAGCUUUGGAAGAGCUACUCCUCGAUGUGGAGGAUACUUUUGGAUCUGGAUGUUUGGCCUUCUUGAAAAUCUGUCACUGUGCAUAAUUUUCCUGAGAUUUCUGGAAGAACUCAGCAUGCUCCAUGUUCAGUUGAUUUGCCCUGGAACAGCAGGGGUAAAUCUUCUUUGGAUACAAAACAAUGAAGAUGUAUGGAAGAAGAAUGGAAGAAGAAUACAUCAGCUGAUUGCAUGAUCUCCAUGAUUAUAUGACAAAAGGAAAAAAAAAGUAAGGGCAAAGCUGAACCAUAAGCAAAGCUUUGGGAAUAGAGUUUGGAUGCCCACAUUCUAAGUGUAUUUCAUUAAACAAUCGCAAAGGAACAUUUCAUUAAACUGUAGAACAUCCUGAGAUGGAAGAGACCCACAAGGAUGGAUGAGUCCUAAUCCUGACUCCACACAGGACCAUCCAAAAUGAAACGAAAGGGAUGUAAUUUUGUUAAAAGAAAAUACAUCAUGGAAAAUAUCUUCAGAAAUACAUUAGUGAUAUUUACUUGGUAUUGGUUUGAUGUAAUGAAUUUAUUAUAAAUUUGCACUUGAUAUCUUAACACAGAUCAAUAAAGCAGAGAUAAAUCUAAUGUUUUUAAGAGGG
rnacentral:lncRNA from 1 species